rnacentral:rRNA from 1 species
CUACGGGUGGCAGCAGUGAGGAAUAUUGCACAAUGGGGGGAACCCUGAUGCAGCAACGCCGCGUGGAGGAUGACGCAUUUCGGUGUGUAAACUCCUUUUAUAUGUCAAGAAAAUGACGGUAGCAUAUGAAUAAGCACCGGCUAACUCCGUGCCAGCAGCCGCGGUAAUACGGAGGGCGCAAGCGUUACUCGGAAUCACUGGGCGUAAAGGACGCGUAGGCGGGUUGGAAAGUCAGGUGUGAAAUCCUACAGCUUAACUGUAGAACUGCACUUGAAACUUCUAAUCUUGAGUAUGGGAGGGGGAGAUGGAAUUAGUGGUGUAGGGGUAAAAUCCGUAGAUAUCACUAGGAAUACCUAAAGCGAAGGCGAUCUCCUGGAACAUUACUGACGCUAAGGCGUGAAAGCGUGGGGAGCAAACAGGAUUAGAUACCCGUGUAGUC